rnacentral:rRNA from 1 species
CGCUUGAAUGAUCGUGCAUGGAAUAAUAGAAACGAUUCGGUUCUGUUUAUUGGUUUUACGGACUGAGAUAAUGGUUAACAGAGACAAACGGGGGCAUUUGUAUGGCCCCGUGAGAGGUGAAAUUCUUGGACCGUGGCCAGACAAACUACAGCGAAAGCAUUUGCCAAGAAUGUCUUCAUUAAUCAAGAACGAAAGUCAGAGGUUCGAAGGCGAUCAGAUACCGCCCUAGUUCUGACCGUAAACGAUGCCAACUAGCGAUCCGCCGAUGGAAAUUAUAUUGCCUUGGUGGGGAGCUUCCCGGAAACGAAAGUCUUCCGGUUCCGGGGGAAGUAUGGUUGCAAAGCUGAAACUUAAAGGAAUUGACGGAAGGGCACCACCAGGAGUGGAGCCUGCGGCUUAAUUUGACUCAACACGGGGAAACUCACCCGGCCCGGACACUGUGAGGAUUGACAGAUUGAUAGCUUUUUCAUGAUUCAGUGGAUGGUGGUGCAUGGCCGUUCUUAGUUCGUGGAGUGAUUUGUCUGGUUUAUUCCGAUAACGAGCGAGACUCUAACCUACUAAAUAGCUGGUACAUACUCUUAGUGUAUACAGCUUCUUAGAGGGAUUUGCGGUGUUCAGCCGAAAUAAAUUGAGCAAUAACAGGUCUGUGAUGCCCUUAGAUGUCCGGGGCUGCACGCGCGCUACACUGGCAAAAUCAACGUGCUUGUCCUACCCCGAAAGGGGCGGGUAAACCAUUGAAAAUUUGCCGUGAUUGGGAUCGGAAAUUGCAAUUAUUUUCCGUGAACGAGGAAUUCCAAGUAAGUGCGAGUCAUCAGCUCGCGUUGAUUACGUCCCUGCCCUUUGUACACACCGCCCGUCGCUGCCCGGGACUGAGCCAUUUCGAGAAAUUUGGGGACCGUUGAUUUAAUUUUUCUAAAUUACUUUGAUGGAAACCAAUUUAAUCGCAGUGGCUUGAACCGGGCAAAAGUCGUAACAAGGUAGCUGUAGGUGAACCUGCUGCUG